rnacentral:rRNA from 1 species
UACGUAGGGUGCAAGCGUCGUCCGGAAUUAUUGGGCGUAAAGAGCUCGUAGGCGGUUCGUCGCGUCGGCUGUGAAAACCCGGAGCUCAACUCCGGGCCUGCAGUCGAUACGGGCGGACUUGAGUUCGGCAGGGGAGACUGGAAUUCCUGGUGUAGCGGUGAAAUGCGCAGAUAUCAGGAGGAACACCGGUGGCGAAGGCGGGUCUCUGGGCCGAUACUGACGCUGAGGAGCGAAAGCGUGGGGAGCGAACAGG